AUUGAGCGCUGGCGGCAGGCCUAACACAUGCAAGUCGAGCGGAUGAGGGGAGCUUGCUCCUGGAUUCAGCGGCGGACGGGUGAGUAAUGCCUAGGAAUCUGCCUGGUAGUGGGGGAUAACGUCCGGAAACGGGCGCUAAUACCGCAUACGUCCUGAGGGAGAAAGUGGGGGAUCUUCGGACCUCACGCUAUCAGAUGAGCCUAGGUCGGAUUAGCUAGUUGGUGGGGUAAAGGCCUACCAAGGCGACGAUCCGUAACUGGUCUGAGAGGAUGAUCAGUCACACUGGAACUGAGACACGGUCCAGACUCCUACGGGAGGCAGCAGUGGGGAAUAUUGGACAAUGGGCGAAAGCCUGAUCCAGCCAUGCCGCGUGUGUGAAGAAGGUCUUCGGAUUGUAAAGCACUUUAAGUUGGGAGGAAGGGCAGUAAGUUAAUACCUUGCUGUUUUGACGUUACCAACAGAAUAAGCACCGGCUAACUUCGUG
rnacentral:rRNA from 1 species